CAUCACGUUGAAACACCGGUUUUCAUCCGAUCAAAGUUAAGCAAAGUUGAACCUGGUUAGUACCUAAAUGGGUUCCCACCUGGGAAUACCAGGUGCUGUAAG